UGUCUCGGUGGUGUAGCGGAAGAGCAUGCGUCCCCGAGUAGGAUGAAACGCGGGUUCGAUUCCCGCUGAGGCCA